CGCGGCCUAUCAGCUUGUUGGUGAGGUAACGGCUCACCAAGGCGACGACGGGUAGCUGGUCUGAGAGGACGAUCAGCCACACUGGGACUGAGACACGGCCCAGACUCCUACGGGAGGCAGCAGUAGGGAAUCUUGCGCAAUGGGGGAAACCCUGACGCAGCAACGCCGCGUGCGGGAUGACGGCCCUAGGGUUGUAAACCGCUUUCAGCAGGGACGAAAUUGACGGUACCUGCAGAAGAAGGCCCGGCUAACUACGUGCCAGCAGCCGCGGUAAUACGUAGGGGCCAAGCGUUGACCGGAAUCAUUGGGCGUAAAGAGCUCGUAGGCGGUUUGGUGAGUCGGAUGUGAAAUCUCCACGCUCAACGUGGGGCGGCCAUCCGAUACUGCCAUGACUUGAGUCCGGUAGGGGAGUGUGGAACUCCUGGUGUAGCGGUGAAAUGCGCAGAUAUCAGGAAGAACUCCGGUGGCGAAGGCGGCACUCUGGGCCGGUACUGACGCUGAGGAGCGAAAGCUAGGGGAGCAAACAGGAUUAGAUACCCUGGUAGUCCUAGCCGUAAACGAUGGACAUUAGGUGUGGGGGAGUAUUGACCUCUUCCGUGCCGAAGCUAACGCAUUAAAUGCCCCGCCUGGGGAGUACGG
rnacentral:rRNA from 1 species